UACGUAGGGAGCAAGCGUUGUCCGGAAUCAUUGGGCGUAAAGCGCGCGUAGGCGGCUCGAUCAGUCUGUUGUGAAAGUCAAAGGCUCAACCUUUGAAUGCCGAUGGAUACUGUCGAGCUAGAGUCCGGAAGAGGCGGGUGGAAUUCCUGGUGUAGCGGUGAAAUGCGCAGAUAUCAGGAAGAACACCCGUGGCGAAGGCGGUUCUCUGGGACGGUACUGACGCUGAGACGCGAAAGCGUGGGGAGCGAACAGG
rnacentral:rRNA from 1 species